AAGGGAGAAGCUGACAGAGGAGGAGGAAACACAGAUCCUUCCAUGCUGAUGGCCUCCUGCACCCCAGCAGAGCUGAGUUACCUCCUGUCAAAGGCCAUGAACCAGAUGACUAUAUGAGACUGUCCUUGAAAGGCCUGUAGGCUAAAUAAUCAGCUAAAUGAGGUCUGUUUUGAGUUAUGUUUUCAAGUGAAGAGACGCCAUACUGUUCCACUCAAAGAUGAGAUGUAAUCUCUAGCGUUUGGAGCUGUGAUUCUUCAGGACAAGAUGCCAUUCACACUUGAUACAUGAAGAUGCACAUCACUGACAGGCUUUCCUGUGUAUCACUGAUUCAAGUUUUCCACUAUUGUAUUUAUCCAAAUGAGGUUCUCAGGGAUCCCCAGUUGAAGGCAUCAGGACAUCAGAUGUUGGCCUGGACAUAUGUACCAACAGUACACCACAAAGACCUCUGCUUUUAAAUGGAUGGCUGAUUACUACCAUGUUCUGUGCGGGUAUUAUUAUAGCAAAACUGAGCACCUGUGACAGUGGGAUUUCUAAUUUUAAAGAAUAGUCAUACAUCAGUAAAUUAUUUUUUUAUUUAAAAAUUUGAAAGGAUUUUUAAAAGUUGCAAACUUUUUUCUCCAGUUACAAAAACAGCUACACCUUUUCAAUUUCUUCAUUGGGGGUGCACAAAUCCUAUUUCACAAAUUAAGAAAUUGAUAUGCUCACAUUUAAGCCGUGUUCUUUGGACACUGUAACAGUCCUGAUAUGAUGUCACACUUUGCAGUAUCUUUUUUAUUAACAUGAAUUCAAAUUUUAACAAAUAUAUUCAAAAUGUAAAGAUAUACAAUCUGACAAUCUGAUCUUGUCAUUAUUAAUCAAUCAGUAAUCAACACUGCACCACCCCGAAAUUACCAUGCACUGUAGAAGUAUGGUUUUGGCAAGAAAUGAACAGUAGCUAAAUAUUUAUUAUAAAUGCUACUAUUUGACAUUCAGUAUUUUAGUCUAUAUUAAAGGGAUACAAGUCUCUUUUAUGUAUGAUGUUUUUUUUUUAUUACAAACUGUUUUUUGUUUGUUUGUUUGUUUUGUAGCUAGCACUUAAUAUUUCUUUAAUGUUACCACAUGAGAAUAGCCAAACAGUGUAGGUGAUUCACAAAAUCAUACACAAAGAAAUGUGUAUGGAAGUAAUUUAAUG